GUGGUGCCGGAACUCCUAUUGCCUGGGGUUUCAAGGAGGAGACCCUUGAGUGCAUCUGGGUUACACCACGGCUGACAUUUCCUUCUCCAGGGGAUCUUCUCGACCCAGUGAUCAAACCCAGGUCUUCUGCAUUGGAGGCAGAUUCUUUACUGUCUGAGCCACCAGAGAAGCCCUUUAUUUUAUUUAAUAUGUUUUAAUUUUAAACUUUGGGCCUAUCAAGAAAGAAAGGAGCUGAAAUGCCGGUAAGUUACCAAAAUCGCAAUUUUAUACCAUAUUGCCCUAGUGUUGUGAACUUUUUCAAAUUUACAGUGACUUUUGUCCCAGGUUUGUCAGAGAGAAUUGGCCAGUAUGUUUUAUAUUCCUGCUGGGAAACUGAGGCUCAAGGAGAUGCACAAUAAAGACUCAGCUUGGGGCAGAUAUCCAGCCAGCCAGGCCAGCAGCUCACCUCAAAGGUUACCUGGGAAGGGCCUUGCUUCAUCGCACGGCUCUAGUUUCCUCUCAAAUAAGGGCAGAAUGGGAAUCCAACAGUAAGAGACUGUGAGUAGAACUGGAUCCUGACAUUUCUGAGGAAAAUAACUGUGAUGAACACCUACCAACCGGGCAAUGGAUUUGGAUUUGGCAAUGAGAGAAUGGAUUUGAAUGAAAGGAGACACUGAACAGAGAUGUGGAAUUGAUUAAACCUCAUGGACUGAGGUCACGAAGAGUCAGACACGACUGAGCGACUUUCAUUUCACUUCAGCUAAAAUCAGAGUUGGAACGGGCCUGUAGAGGGAGCUCUCACCACCCAACCAAGCAUCUUCAAUUACUCUAAAAAGGAAGCUAUUAAUGCCUACCUUACCUCUCCUGCAGGAAGGAGUUGCUUACUUCACUAUCCAGGGGGAAGAAGAAAAGUUUUGUCUGCCAGAUGACAGCCAAUCAGAGACUGACAGUCCAACCAAUAAGAAGCAUUCAUACUUUGGAUUCUUAGCUUCUUCCAAUGGACUCUGAUUAUUUCAGCUCUUCCCAAGUGCCCUCUUUUCCUAUUAAAAACAAGUUCCUCUUCUUUGUUCUCUGGCCUAUGCUCUGCCAUAACUGGCAUAUCCUGAACUGCAAUUCUUCUGGCUGUUCUUGACUAAACUGGCUUUUGCUGGUUAAAUAACUGGCUAUUUUAUUUUUGAUGGUGACAGAGGCAUUUUAAGUAGCAGCCAUGAUGUCACAAAAGCAGGUAGAGACCUGAAUCUACCUGAGAAUACACCAUCAAAGUGGCAGCUUGGAGCUGUUAGGCUUGACAUGGGCUCCCUUGGAGAAUGGAGACCCAAGGAGAGUUUAAGUAUGUAAGUGGUUCUAGUUGAAAGUGGAAGAGCAUCCCAGUGAAAUACCACAAUUUGAGUUGGCAAACAAAGAUUAAUAUAAAAGUGUGUGCCUAGGAAUGACAAACCUAGACAGUAUAUUAAAAAGCAGAGACAAUACUUUGCCAACAAAUGUCUAUAUAGUCAAAACUAUGGUUUUUCCAGUAGACAUGAAUGGAUGUGAGAGUUGGAACAUAAAGAAGGCUGACCACCAAAGAACUGAUGCUUUUGAAUUGUGUUGGAGAAGAGUUUGAGAGUGCCUUGGACUGCAAGGAGAUCAAACCAGUCAAUCCUAAAGGAAAUCAGUCCUGAAUAUUCGUUGAAGGACUGAUGCUGAAGUUGAAGCUCCAAUACUUUGACCACCUGAUUCGAACAGCCGACUCAUUAGAAAAGACCCUGAUGCUGGAAAAAAUUGAAGGCAGGAGGAGAAGGGGAUAACAGAGGAUGAGAUGGUUGGAUGGCAUCACCAACUCAAUGAACAUGAGUUUGAGCAAGCUCCUGGAAAUGGUGAAGGACAGGGAAGCCGGGCAUGCUGCACUCCAUGGGGUCUCAAAGAGUUGGACAUGACUGAGUGACUGAACAACAAAAAGGAACACAGUAUAUGACUUCUAUACAGUAAAGAGGAUGUUGCACUGGGUGAGAAGGAAAAUUUUCCGCUAUCAAAUAGCUUAACCAGAACAGAAUCAAAGAGGGAUAAAUCCACUGAAGCUGUGUUCAGUUCACCCCGAAUGGGAGACUACAAUAAUACUUGGCUAUUAAAUUUAUAUAAUCUUGCCCAAAAACACUGCCUUUGGCUUUGAAUUGUCUGAAUGAUCUUGCCCUGAAGUCACUGUUCCACAUUCUGUAAGGGCCUAGGAACCCUAGUAGUCCAGGCAGUAAACUGUGUAUGUGUGUUAGUCACUCAGUCGUGUCUGACUCUUUGCGACCCCAUGAACUGUAACGCACCAGGCUCCUCUGUCCAUGGGUUUCUCCAGGCAAGAAUACUGGAGUGGGUUGCCAUUUCCUUCUCCAAGGCAGUGAAAUAGCUUUAAACUAAGGUGGUUCAGCCAGGUCUCUCCAUACCUCUGUAGUUUACUAGCAGCACCCAAAACAGAAGCCCCUCAGAUCCCGUGUUCUCUCAUAAUGUUAUCUCCAUGGCACACUGCUCUCCUGCCAGCUUCCUUCAAAGCUUAACCUUCACAGCUCACAGAAACAAGCUAUUGUAACGUUCAUAAUAAGCAUUAGUCAUAAUGUGAGGAUAAGGGUGCUUGACUGAGCUGAGAUGCAGGACACCAGCUGGGCUCACCACAAGCUAAGGGUCUGGCUCGAACAUCUGAGAUUCAGAUUCUUCAUUCACAAGUUAUAGUAUGCCUGCCGAAUGCCAUGAAUCCUCAUGUCACCUGAGACUAGUUGCAACUAAAUAUACAGCAGUUCUGGGUCUAUUGUAAUUUAUGUGGAAGUGCUGUGAAAACUUGAAUGCCAUAGCUUUCCACCUUUUUCUUGGUCACAGACCGCUCUGAAUGUCUGGUGAAAAUUUGGACCCAUUUUUAAGAGAAAUACACACCAAUAUGCUUAUGAUGUUUUGCAUAUAAUGUCAAGAAGUUCACACAUCUUCUGGUGUACUAUAGAUUCCUUUAUCUAAAGGAAUUUAUAAGUAUGUUAUUAAUUAAGAGUAUCUUUUUACAUUUAAGUGAACAGCACAAUGUAGAUUUGUACAUUUAGUGCCAUCUCAGUGAUACACUAUACAUAGCAAAGAAUACAUGUAUAUAGAAAAGCCUGGGAAGAUAUGCACUAAAAUGUAAAUAUUUGGAUGAUGAGAUUGUGGUUGGUUUUAAUUUUCUUCCCUGCAUUUUGUUUUGUUUUCCCAAUUUAGAAAUACUUUCACUAGUUAAUUUGCACAAAAAUAACUGUUUCUUGUGACAUUAUAGAAAUACUGAACAGAGCUUUUGGAUGCGCUGAGUCACUUCAGUCGUGUCCGACUCUGUGCGACCCCAUGGACUGUAGCCCGUCAGGCUCCUCUGUCCAAGGAAUUCUUCCAGCAAGAAUACUGGAGUAGAUUGCCAUUUCCUUCUUCAGCGGAUUUUCCCAAUCCAGGGGUGGAACCUGGGUCUUUUGCAUAGUAAACAGAUUAUUUACCUACUAAGCCACCAGGGAAGCAAAUCUAAAAAGACAUUCUAGUGGGCACUCCUUUAGAUGGCUGCUUCAUUCACAGUAUUUAGGAGUCUCGGGCCUUAGGUGAGCGUACCCUGAGAACCUUCUUCUGACCUUCUGAUUGGUUCAUGGAGGGGCGGGGCUUGACUCAGCUAAACCAAUCAGUGUGUUUCCCCCAAGGUUUUUCUGAAUUCGAGCAAGGAGACAGUUUCUCUGUGGUGACAGAAGCUGUGAAUGAGGUCUGGGGGUUUUGAAGCGGGAGGGGGCCAUAUUACCUGCUGGCCUGUAAAUGAGAGAGAGAGAGAGAGAGACAGAGACACCCGGUAGUUCCUGGGGCCCAGCUGCUCCCCAGUCCUUCUUGCAUUUUGUUUUUUUCAAUUCUUCCUUUGCUUGUAUACCUUUGACACGUAACAAUAGAUUUCCUUUUUGUCUGAACUAGUUAGAGCUGGGUUUCAGGCACCUGAAGCCAAGUCGACACAAUUAGCAGAAGUAUUAUAAAUUAAAUGUAUUAUAUUAUAUAUUAUUUUAUAUAUAAUGUAUAUUAUACAUUAAUAUAUAUAUUUAUAUAUUUAUAACUACUCAAGAGUAAAAUUUGACCCAAGCUGUGAAAGAAAUGAAAUCAACAAUAUUUCUUGACACAGAAACUGGCUGGCUUAGGGUGCCUGGCUCUGUGCAGGAAAGAGGAGGUUCAAAGAUCAGAAACAAACCAGCAUGAUUGGCUCAGGUCCUUAGAUCGUUCUGUUCCUUUAGGAGGUAGAACUUGUCUUCUUGGCUCUGUGUAGAAACAGACAAUAACAGGAUUGUUCAAACCUUGGUUAUAGCCAUAAAAAUUACAAGUCUCUUCUCUCAUUUAUGAGCGUGAUGCUCGGGAUAACAAAUCUACAAGUGAAUGAAAGAUAAAUGUAUUUUCCAACUCAAUGAGCUAGAAAUUAAUCCCUGCAUUAAUUUGGCAACCUGAAAAUAUCUGAGCUCUGCUGAAGAGAAAAAUCUCAGCAAAUUGGUAGAGAUGCUCUGCAAGAAUAAUCGCUUUACAUGUGAGUUUGUGCUCUCCAUAGAAUAGCCAGUUCCUUUUCAGUACAUCUUUAGUUGUGAUGAAAGUAGUGAAAAAAUACUGAGACAUGACUUAAUUGUCUUAGGAACACUUGACACUAUGAAAUUUUAGAACAACUUUUUAAAAAAUAAUUCAUCCAAGCAAAAGCUUCUUCAAAUUCAAUCUUAUCCAAAUCCCUACUGAAAGUGUGGAAAACUGUAUUUUUUCCAUGGGCAAAUGUGUAUUUCUAUUGAGUUUAGAAAUGGUCUGGCAAGGAUAAUGUUGUAGGUAGGCCAUGAUGGAGUCAGUUCCACCUUUGGAGGCUGGUUAGGGUUGCACAGUCAAGGGGAAAGAGUUUAUACCCAGACUGACUCUAAGAUAAUGAGACCAAUUUAAAUUUUUUUAAUUCAAUAUACUAUAACCUGCAUACUGUAAGUAAAAGCUAUGCUCACAUUUCUUGAAGAUUGAGAGAUAUUUCUUAUCACAAUAUUUUAAACCAAGACUUUGAGCCAUUUGCCUGAUAUCUUUAGAUGAUUCUGGAUUUGUAGCUAUGAAACCAGUAUUUUCAACCAGGCUUCCAAACUAGUUAGAAU
rnacentral:lncRNA from 1 species